rnacentral:rRNA from 1 species
CUCGGUACGUACUGGCAUCGUCGGUUUCUCCCUUCUGACGAACCAUGAUGUCAUUUAUUUGGUGUUGUGGGGAAUCAGGACUGUUACUUUGAAAAAAUUAGAGUGUUUAAAGCAGGCUCGCGCUUGAAUACAUUAGCAUGGAAUAAUGAAAUAGGACGUUUGAUUCUAUUUUGUUGGUUUCUAGGAUCGACGUAAUGAUUAAUAGGGAUAGUUGGGGGCAUUAGUAUUCAAUUGUCAGAGGUGAAAUUCUUGGAUUUAUUGAAGACUAACUACUGCGAAAGCAUUUGCCAAGGAUGUUUUCAUUAAUCAAGAACGAAAGUUAGGGGAUCGAAGACGAUCAGAUACCGUCGUAGUCUUAACCAUAAACUAUGCCGACUAGGGAUCGGAUGAUGUUAAUUUUUUAAUGACUCAUUCGGUGCCUUACG